AGUUGGUGAGCUUGUAAAAGCAUGUGUUUUGAAAACACAAGAAAGAGAAAUAAUCUCUAUUAACUU
rnacentral:tRNA from 1 species